UACAGAGGUCUCAAGCGUUGUUCGGAUUCAUUGGGCGUAAAGGGCGCGUAGGCGGCGGGGUAAGUCGGGUGUGAAAUCUCAGAGCUCAACUCUGAAACUGCACUCGAUACUGCUCUGCUUGAGGACUGGAGAGGAGACUGGAAUUCACGGUGUAGCAGUGAAAUGCGUGGAUAUCGUGAGGAAGACCAGUGGCGAAGGCGGGUCUCUGGACAGUUCCUGACGCUGAGGCGCGAAGGCCAGGGGAGCAAACGGG
rnacentral:rRNA from 1 species